rfam:Oryza glaberrima chromosome 8 Oglab08_0001_11, whole genome shotgun sequence.
AAUAAACGCAGUUGUGGGUUUCACUUCCCAACGUUUAAUCGUUCGUCUUAUUUAAAAAUUUUUUUAUGACUACUAUUUUUAUUGUUAUUGGAUGAUAAAAUAUGAUUAGUACUUUAUGCAUAACUUAAUUUUUAAUUUUUAUUUUUAUUUUUUUCAAAUAAGACGGACAAUCAAAACGUUGGGCAUGGAAACUUAUGGCUGCACUUAAA